UCCCUGGUGGUCCAGUGGUUAAGACUCUGCACUUUCAAUGCAGGGGACAUAGGUUUGACCCCUGGGCAGGGAA
rfam:TPA: Bos taurus chromosome 27, whole genome shotgun sequence.